rnacentral:rRNA from 1 species
CCUACGGGAGGCAGCAGUGGGGAAUAUUGGGCAAUGGGCUCAAGCCUGACCCAGCAACGCCGCGUGAAGGAAGACGGCUUUCGGGUUGUUAACUUCUUUUUAGAGGGAAGAGCAGAACACGGUACCUCUUGAUUUAGCCACUGCUAGCUACGUACCAGCAGCCGCAGUACUACCCAGGUGGCAAGCGUUUUCCGGAUUUACGAGGUGUAAAGGGCGUGCAGCCGGGAAGACAAGUCAGAUGGUAAAUCCCGCGGCUUAACCGCGGAACUGCAGUUGAAACUGUUUUUCUUGAGUAACGGAGAGGUAAGCGGAAUGCGUGGUGUAGCGGUGAAAUGCGUAGAUAUAAGGAAGAACACCGGUGGCGAAGGCGGAAGACUGGACGGCAACUGACGGUGAGGCGCGAAAGCGUGGGGAGCGAACAGGAUUAGAUACCCGGGUAGUC